ensembl:lncRNA
CUUAUAUAUAUAUAUAUAUAUAAUAUAUAUAUUAAAGAUAUUUCAUGAAGUUCUUAUUUCAUGGCACAGUUACAAGUAGAUAUUUCCUUCUUCAUUUUCACAAUGUCCUUCCUCUUCUCACUGAAUUAAAAUGGUGCCCUCUAGAAAAACAGGGAAGAAAAUAUCUUGCUGUAGAAAUGGGCUAUGCACAAGCACUUAGACAAAAUCUGUCACAUAGAAAAUACAGGAUCCACAGCAACAAAUCAUGUCCAGAAGAAAUUGGUAUAAAUAAAAUAGAUAAAUUUAUUUAUAAAAUUAGGGAAUAGGGAAGAUAAAAUUAGGGAAACAUUUGCAAGGGUGGCCUACCAGAGACAAGGAGGUGUAAAUGAAUAGAGUUCUUUUAAACUUUUCCCUAGUAGUGCUAUUAUUGUUAUUACUAUUACUAUGACUACUAGUACUAAUACUACUAUUACUACUACUACUACUAAGUUCUAUCCUGGAGUGCUUAUGCCUUGAAGUAUAACAGUUCUAUCCUGGAGUGCUUAUGCCUUGAAGUAUAACAGUUCUAUCCUGGAGUGCUUAUGCCUUGAAGUAUAACAACUCUUCAGAAAAAGAUAGAGAACAAUCUAGAUUUUAGCAAUACUUUCAUGUAGUUUUAAAGUUGUUGCUUAUGUUCGUAGUGGCAGAAAUCUGCAGACUCUGAGGGAAAGUGUCAGCAAGAGUUUGCGAGAACAUAGGUAUAUGUCUGGGUAGUAUGGAAUGUGAAGUCAUGCAAUAGGUUUUCAGAACUGUCACUGCCCAGAAGAUCCACAUGCAUGUGUACUAGGGGCUGAAAUCUAUUGCAUCAACAAGGGCAAAAUUACAAAGAACCAUAACAAAAAGUUUUAGAUAGUAGUUUUUUUAAUAGAAAGAAAUUAUGUAGGUAUUUAUAUGAGGAAAAGCUGCUAAUGUUCUGCUUGGGCUGACAGGGAUAAUAAGGGUGGUAACAGUUCUAAGCACCAUUCAUAGAUUGGGGUUGAGUCUCGCUAGGAAGUGAAGGAGUAAUGUAACUUGGGCAGACCCAUAGGAAAGAAGAACAAAAAUCUUAACAGAGACAGGGAACCAGAGAGAAGGGAAUGUACACGAACAAAGCAAAAACUCCAGGUUAAAACAGCUAGGUGUCAGAAUUAGCAGUAUCCAUGAGAGUGAGAAGUAUCUAUGGGAAAAUGUGAAAGAAGAUGAAGGGCAAAAGAGGGAACAGAAUGCAGAAGUGGGCUGUGAAUCAGCAGCACAGAAUGACCAGAGCAAUAUGUGAGAAGGGAUAAAAUAGUAGAAAUUAGUGGUUUGAUGUAAGGAACACUUUCAGCAGAAUGGGGCCAAUGGACUAGAAGAUGCUUAUAAUGGCUAAAUCAUAGGUUUUGCAGAGUACUAUUACAGCAUUUUGACAGUGCUCAAUACAGACAAAACUGAACUUUCUUUGCUUUCUAAAUUGCAGGUAAUGCCAUUAAUUAAAAGUCUUUUUUUAUAGAAAGGGGCUAAGACGCUUAUAUGUUCCUUUCAAACAACCAUCUUCUCCCAAAUCUGAAUCUCUUUCUCUGUAAUUUUAGCCUGAAAUGAUAAAGAUUUGAAUAUUUAUUUAUUUAUGAAAACAUAUCUGUGAUUUUUAUCUUGUCUGUUCACCUUGUUUUCUGUAUCUUAUUAUUUCUGUAUAACUUUUGAUGCUGUUAUUCUUCCAUCAAGUGCAAAUGCACUUCAUCCUCAGAAGAACUGUAGAUUAGACAAAUAAUUUUCUCUAUGAAAAAGCAGAAUUGAAGAUGCAAAAUUAAGUUUCGUUAAAAGUUCAUGUACAGAGUGAGUUCUUGAUUUCUAAACACUGAAAGUGGAUAUUUCAUAUGGAAUUCAGCGAAUAGUUUCUCUUCAGUUCUUUUAAGCAUAUAAUGAUUCUUGUGUUGCAUAAGUGAUGGAAUUAUUGGCUCCCCUGCCAUGCCUUAGCUGAUGUCCUGUGGUUCACCUGGCUUGAUUCAUGCUAGCAAUCUCCAAAUCCAACAACAGUGCCCAAGUUUCAAGCAAAACAGGUUCCAUCAUACCUUUUUGGCGAUGAAAAGUACUGGAUGUAGUGUUCUAAAUGUCUGCCCACCAUGCAUUUAACAUGCUUCUAUUUUCAGUGGAACACCUCCUUUAAAACUAUUCUUUGACAUAUCCACGUGUGAGGUUGGGGUAAGAACACUUCUAAAAUCUUUUUGCUGAGUACUGUGCUUUCGCUGUGAUGUCUUUUAAGUUUCCGUUCUGUUUACAAGCACCUUAUUCUUCCACUGCCACUUUUAUUUUGGCUUUAAUGGGCUUAUUUAUUUCUAUGCAGUUCCCUAUUUCCAGACUCAGUGCUGCAGUUUCUUUUUUGCUCUUACUGGGAGGUUGAAGAUUACCUUGUUACUAUAGGAUGCUUCUUUGACAAAGACUUCAUGAGCAGAGUUCGUGCUCAUCCAAGACUACACCGAGGUUACUGUCUUUUUCUGUGGGGAGUCUUGACCAGAAUUUUCAUCAGUGUCAGUGUUUGAUCUUUUUGCUGAUGCCAACAUUCUGCUUCAGGUAGUGAGAAAAGCCAAAGGCCUCUGGACUGGUUUCUUGUCUAAACAGAGGUUGCACGUGAAACAGCUCUGUUGUAGUGUGCAGUCAGUCUGGUCAUGUGAAAAUGACUUGGAAGAUGAUGGUUGUCCAAACAGCCCCAGCUGAUUUAUAUCCUCUCAUAGCUGUGAACUGAUACUCUUCAGUAGUUGCUUUGCUAGCCAUGAUUAUGAUGUAGCACAUGGGCAUGACGCAUAUGAUGAAUACUGAAGAUACAUGUACAAGCUGCAUGUAGUCCAAGAGCCAUAAACUAUUCCUCCUGACUUUAGAGGUAAGCUUUUUUGUCCUUGGGACACACUUGUGGCUGUGGCCAUCGAUGAAAUGCAUUUUUGUAUCCCUGCAGGCCAGUAGCAAUUUUUAGCCCUUUGAAAUGUGAAGGAUAUUGUGACUCCUUUACUGAUAGAUCUGUUCUUGGAUUGUCCCCUGGCUUGGAUUAUUCUGUGGUAGAUAAAAAAUAUGACUUUUUAUAGGGCUGUGAGUUCCCUAAAUCAGGAAAUAUCUUUUCUGAAUAAUUGGACAUCACUUAAUAGGCAUCACUGCAAAUGCAUUAAUAGUGUAACACCCUCUACUUCAUCCUUUUGACCUCAUCUACAUCAUGUAUAUUUAUUCUUUCCCUGAUAAAAACAUUAACCUCUUAUCUUGCCUUAGGUUCACAUAUUCAUUCACUAUUUGAGAAAACAGAGAGAGAGGAAGGAAGGAAGGAAUGUAGAGGGAGAGGGAGAGAGGGAGGGAUAAAGGAAGAGAGGAGCUUUUAGCAUUCUGUAGCCGAGCUGCCUGAUGUAAUGUGUUAGAGGAUAUAGGUGCCAGUAAUGUGCAAAGAGCUUGAAAAAUGACCAGACAGUGCCAAACCCACAGUGCAUGUUGUCAAGAGGGCUAACAGUAUAAUAAAUCAACCUGUCUCGUGUCAAGGGUCAGGUGGUUUGAUGUUCAAAGCUUUUCGGCCAGCCUGAUCCAGCCAGGCAGAUGCUAUUCAUUUCUGAGCCUCCAGCACUAUUAUGAUACUGGGAUCACCAUAAAGAAGUGCCAGCCCUGUGGUUCUUUGGUCUUUAAGUCAAGAUCCCAAAGGGGAAAAUUAUCCAGGAGAAGAGAGCAAAGUGCUGCUUAGUUUCAAACCUUAUGCUUUCCUCAUAAUUAUUUUUUCAAAGCAGCACUGAGAAAAGCAUGGAAAACCAUGUCAGAUGGAUUUUUCCUAUGCUUUCUGUAUAGGACAGUGAUGCUUAACCUUUUCUUAUCUGAGCAAGCCAUAUGGGCCCACCGUGAUGGGUGGGGACAACUGGCUCUGCCUUCCUCUGUUCAUGUGACCAUGUACCUACUCAAAAGAAAUGUCAUAUUUUGAGUAAGUGGAGGAUGUGAAGCACAAUAUAAUUAAACGAUCCACUCCAGUCACAGCUACUGUACCUUCCUUCCGUGAUGUUUAGAGGGGCUAGAGGGAGGAGACCCUGCCUCUGGCCUGCCAAGCUAGAAGGAGGGUCUUUCCACAUGUGUCUUACACUGUGUCUGCAGGGCUGGAUGAGUGCAGGGAAUCUGCUGUAGGCAUUGCAGGCCAAUCUGAAACUUACAUGUUCAGGAUCUUUAAUUAGCUUUGUUAGUUGGGAAUAUGCAAGGAGAAAGGUUAAAGCAGCAAAUCAGGCUAAUUACAGGCAGGAGGUCCCAGGAGUUCAGAUCUAGUGAUCUUCCCUGGCCCUAAGAGGGAAGCAGUUAACACUGUACUGUCUCUGCCAGUGCCACAGGGCUGCUGUUUUCCCAGUCUUUGGGCUUUAAGAGUGGUAACUCCUGCUUCCUUCAGAACGCCACACAUCUGCAACUGUAAAACUGGGGGCUCUAUAGGCACCAACACAGUGUCCCAAAUUAUCAUAGAAUGGCUUGGGUUUAAAAGGACUCAUCUCUUAGCAAAUUCAUUUCUAAUAGCCUCUUCCCAUUGUUGUAGAAACACUUCUGCACAUUUUCCCCCUCUCCAGCUACAUCAUCAGUGCACUGUUAUUUCUAGUGUUAUAUAAAUUAGAGUCCAAAAUAUUGAAACUAAAAUGUCAUGGGGGAAGUUGGGUUAAAGGAGGCAGCUGAGGUACUGAAACAUCCAAGUGUCAGAGGCAAACUGACAUGAGGACCAAUAACAUGGAGCAAAAAUGCUGGUAGACAUGUUACACAGCAAGUGAUUUUGUAGCAGAUAACAAAUUCUAGAAGAGUAGUUGGGUGAAUUCUGUAUCAGCAGAUACAGAGGAAAUUUCAAUGAUAAUCUGUUGUUGUCCAAAGAGCAAGCAAAAAUAAAACACAUCAGAUACCCAAAAGAAAAUCAGAACUCCAACCCAAAGAAUCCAAAACAAUGAAUACCCAUCAGAACUAUAAAACAAUUAGAUUCAAACAGUGUCUACAGGGAAGAUUUGGUGCGAGUCUUAAAUAGUAGUAGACUGAAUUUGGUUAGUUUGUUUCCAGGAUUUUUCUCAGAGAUUUGUUAACUCCUAUGUUGGAGGGUUAUUUUGCUCAGAGGAACAAAUGUGGGUAUGAUGUAAGUCAUAACCAUAUGUAUUUUGUUUUAUCAUUUCAUAUAUCCUGCGUGGAUAUUAAUUCCACUGCAUGUUUCUACUUUUUUUUUUCUUCCAGAAAAUAACUCCCCUCACCAAGCCCCGAUGAGUACAGUGGUUGUCUUUUCUCAAAAAGGAAUAAGUCACAAUGAUUCUAUUUUUUUUUUGUGUGUGUGUGUUGUUGUUUUUUGUUUGUUUGUUUGGUUGGUUUUUUUUACAUACCCAAAUCCUGUGAAGGACUUUACCAAAUGAAGGUCAGCAGUUGUUGAAGUACUAGUCUGGCAGUAGCCAGAGUCUCCUGCAUCAACAACAUGGAACUAAGUCAACUUUUACUAGCUCCUUUCCCCAUCCACAGACUGCAUGAUAAUGCUUGAAGCCUUUAUAAAUGUAUUUGGGCAAUGUAUAAAAUGUCAUUUGUAUGAGUAAAUGAUUAUCAGCAGAGUGCCUCUCUGAAGGAUCGAAGUGUGAGACAAAAGACAAAAUACAGAUUUGAUCAGUUCAUGACUAUAUGUACAUAGUUAAGAUUUACAAUAUAAAGAUUAUUUUUUCAAAUUAUAAUGCCUGUCAAAUUAUAAUACUGUCACCGUUAAGAGUUUCUGAAAAUCCCACCUACAUAUUCCGGUAGGAAAUUAUGCAAAGGCAAAGUGUUAUGACAGGGAAGACUGCUCUAUCUGCAGUAGUUUUAGGCAAUGUAAUAAUAAAAAUAGAACAAUAGAUUGUAUCAAUAGAGCAAAGAAACAAACAGUGAAGGCAGAGGUCAGAAAGGACAACUUGAUGUAAAAAUAAAAUAUAUUCUUCAGCUAUAGCAGUUAAAUCAGUACUUGUGAUAGCAGAGUUGGACUGUAUUAUCAAGUCAAACUCAGACAGUGAGCAAGGGUAUCAUCUCAGAGACUCAAGGGGAAAACUAUGGAUUAGAACAUGGAAAGAAAAUAUAAGGGAAGAAAAUAUUCAAGGUGUGAAAAACUAUUUCUGCCAGUGGUUAACUGAGGUGAAAUUUUUUGAGGUUUCCAUCCUUCCCAUUGAAAUUUGAGGCCGUCACUAUAUGAUAUGUUGUCUUUGGCAGCAAAGCUGGCUAGAAAGUUCCCGAGAUCCACUGCCAUUUCAUUGCUACAUGUGUUUGUUAAUAAAUGCUUAUGUCUCUGCGCUGCUGACAGGUGACUCAGAUGGUAUGCAGUCAAAACAGCCAUUCAAAACUUUUCAGUCUGAAAAAACAAAGGCUCUCUGACCUGAACCAGUUUAGAAUUUGAGGUAGUGUUGUAGGCCACAACACGAGCUUCAGUGAUGAACCAGGAUAGCAUCUGGUAACGACAGGAGAUUUGUGCAAUCUUCCUCUUCAGUAGUUCCACUCAUACAGGUAUAUUUAUAGUCUUUGGGAUAACAAAUCUCGUGCAUCCUGAAAGUAAAUGCAUAGUCCCCAUCGAGUAAUAAAAGUACUUGUUUGUAUAUAGGGAAAUAUAUUGACUGUAAGCAAUUUUUACUUGGUAAGGGGGGAAUUGCCACCAAUAAAAAAGAAUUUAUUCAAGAUUCCUCUCAUGUCAGGUUGAUCAGCUUCACAGAAUGAAAGUGUUUUGUUGUUUCUUUCAGAAAAUGCAUGUGUGCAUGUUCAACCUGAUAUAGAAUAACAGAAUAAGAAAAGUAAGAGACAUUUAAGUUUUCAAAAUGCUCUCAACUAUUAUUAUAGCUAGUACAAUAAAUAUUCCAGUGUUCUGAAUAAACCUAAUACAGCUGUUCUUCCAUUCAAUUUGUGCUUGUUGUAGCUAUGCUUACUUAAGCUAUCAUAAAACAAAAUACAAAUGCUAAUUAAUUAAGGGUUGUACAUUACAACUAUUGACAGUUGUUAUGGUUCUUAAUGUAGUAGCUGUGGGUAGUGUUUUCUAGAUCUACAAGAAGGGAGUGAUUGCCAUCAAGCAACCUAAAACUAAGCAUGGACUCUGCAGCACCUUGUACACAGUCAGGCAAAAGAACAUGAGGAUUUUCAGGGCUAUUCGACAGCUGAGAUAAAGUAAAGAAUAAAAUCACCACAAGAAUUCUUAAAAAUGCAUUAGAGCUAUUUCCUACAGUAUUUUAAUGGUCUUAUGAUUUUCUUGAUCAUUUUAUUUAAAUAUUUUAGUGCAAUUUGUUUUAGUUUGUUUUUCAUGCUCCUAAUCCUUUCAAGAUCAGGUGCUGAGCAAUGAGGAUAAUUGGGGAUUAGUGGCUGGCUGCUGGUAUUAACGCACUGAGUUAUAAUGAGACAUCUGCAAUAUUUUUCCAGAAAGUGACCCAGAGCAGAGGGAUAAAAUAACCUUUGUAUCCUCUUGUACCUGAACAGCAUGAGCUGGUCUGGGGAACGGUCAGCUCUGCCCUUCAGACUUCAAUUGCAUCCGGCCAUGUAUGCUAUGCAGGUUUCUUGUUCACUGGGUGAUCUUGAAGUGGCCUUGCUAAAAGCUCUCUCUGCCAUUUCCAAAGGAGAUAAAUCUACCUAGAGCCCUGGGAAGCAGAAUUGCUCUUCUUUUUGAAGUGAAGGACCAGUGGUGAACUGGCAAUGAUCAUGACAGUGCCCCUCAUUACUCCAGCCCUCAGCACAUGAGCCCAGGCGACAUGCACUCUAUGCUCUGCUGAGGAAGAUCACAGCGAUCUUGAUAUGAUGGCACAGGACAAGAAUACAUAGACUUGGCUGGAUCAAAAGCAAUGUGCUGAGACUCUACAUCAUCUUGGUGCUUCAGGAGACUAAUUUCUGGACUAAACAGUCUUUGAAAUGAUUCCACAUCACGAGCUUCCGUCCCCACCUUAGUCAAGUCCUGUGAUCACCAAGGCAGACAAAGACAAGCACAGAAAACUGAGGACAAAUCAGGAGCUUCACAGACUGUUUUUAAUUGGGAGGAAACAAAAGAAAAAAUAUCACAAUUUGUACAAGAUGGUGAGAUGGACUCAUUUUAUGAGUAAUAAAAUAAACUUUGGUUCUCAUUUAUUCUAAUUGUCCUGAAAGAUCUUCUAGAGGCAAACAUGAGAGACACAAGACAAAUUACAAAAUUUUCAUCCCUAUCACACAAUUUGUCAUGUUACAGACAUCAGCAAAGAACUAACUUGACUCUGCCUUUAACGCAGGUCAUCUUCUAGAAGUCAUCUUAUUAUGCUACAGUUUUUAAGUUGGGCUGCCCAAAUAGUCUCAAUAUUUUACUGGUAUUGAAGGAAAAAAAUCUCAUGCUAAAUAUAGUGGAAACAAAGCAAAGAAAUAGAGAAUAAUAAAAAAAAAAAAUACCACCAGUCCCAAAGAGUCACUGAUUUUAUACUGAUUGCAUCUAGACUGACUUUUAAUGGUCUGAGUCCAGGAUUCCAUUAGUGUUUAAUAAAUGAUGGUAAUGAUAUCCUACCUAAACAAUGCACACAGAGCUCCCAUUGACUUCAACAUGAGUUCUCGGUGCAGACUGAUGGCAGGAUAUUCCUGUGACAGAGAUGAAUUUUCCAUUAGAACAAAAUGAGGAAGACCUGUCUCAGUCAGCAGAAUUCACAGCAACAAGAAAUAUUCCUUGGGGGCUCAGUGAAAGAUGGCCAUCCUGAGUGGUGGAAAGUAAAUUGGGUGGGAAACUGUGAGGCAUACUUGGACAGUUGUAAAACCAAUUAAAACCAUCAUGCAGUUAUAUUGAUGUUUAAUUUGUAUCAUCUGGAAACCACAACUUCCUUUCUCAUCACACCAUGGGGGAAAUUGCUGUUCUUUUUUAUAUGAAGGCAAAGAGUGCAUUUAAUAUUGGGAUAGAAGAGAGAGUGUGUACGUCUAGUACUAUGUCUUGAUUACCAACUUUCACUCAGAAUAGGGAAAGGAAAAAUGAAAUGCUGUUAGUUAUAAACAAUGGAGAACCAUUACCCAUACAGAAAUUUGGGCAACGACACAAAGAAUUCAGCUGAACGUUUUCCUUCAAGGAUUUUGUUAAAAAUACAGUCAAUGAGUUGAUGUGAAGUCAGCUUUGCAUGUGGCAGAGAGGCAGCUAAGUACAACAGGGGCAGAGAGAAACCUCUUUUGGCAUUGCUUUUAUUGUGAAAAAGGGAUAUAUUUUCUGCAAAAAAAAAUAAUUUUGAUUUUGUUAUCAAUUUCUUCUCUUGGAAGACUAUAUGUUUCACUUGAAUAUUUGGGUCAAAAACACAAAACUUUCAACCUUUUCUAAGGUAUUCACUGAAGGGAAAAGGAAAAGGAGUUAAUAUAAGAAAACACAAGUAAUUCAAUUACUUUUUUUGAUAGAUGUUUAAUAACAAUAGAUUGAUGCUAAAUGAACAUGUAUAUUUCCAGGAGCAAAUAUGUAAUUUUUGGAAUGCAUCUUAGAAAAACAGGAUGUAUUUGGCUGGGGAAAUACCUUUGCUUUUUAUGAUAUAUUAAUGAUCUUAGCAAAAAACAUCAUGUCUUAGAAUAGAUGAUUAAAAGGAUGAAGAAAACCAGCAUCUGAGUGAAAAAUCAAAGGCAAAAGUAAUUGUAAGUAAGAUGGAUAGC